rnacentral:rRNA from 2 species
AGAGUGACUAGGCAAAUCCGGUCAUUUAAUGCUGAGGUGUGAUGACGAGCCACUAAGGUGGUGAAGCAAUUGAUGCCCUGCUUCCAGGAAAAGCCUCUAAGCUUCAGGUUACCAACAAUCGUACCCCAAACCGACACAGGUGGUCAGGUAGAGAAUACUCAGGCGCUUGAGAGAACUCGGGUGAAGGAACUAGGCAAAAUGGUGCCGUAACUUCGGGAGAAGGCACGCUGACGGUAGGUAAAGUCCCUCGCGGACGGCGCUGAAGUCAGUCGAAGAUACCAGCUGGCUGCAACUGUUUAUUAAAAACACAGCACUGUGCAAACACGAAAGUGGACGUAUACGGUGUGACGCCUGCCCGGUGCUGGAAGGUUAAUUGAUGGGGUUAUCCUUAGGGAGAAGCUCUUGAUCGAAGCCCCAGUAAACGGCGGCCGUAACUAUAACGGUCCUAAGGUAGCGAAAUUCCUUGUCGGGUAAGUUCCGACCUGCACGAAUGGCGUAAUGAUGGCCAGGCUGUCUCCACCCGAGACUCAGUGAAAUUGAACUCGCUGUGAAGAUGCAGUGUACCCGCGGCAAGACGGAAAGACCCCGUGAACCUUUACUAUAGCUUGACACUGAACAUUGAGCCUUGAUGUGUAGGAUAGGUGGGAGGCUUUGAAGUGUGGACGCCAGUCUGCAUGGAGCCAACCUUGAAAUACCACCCUUUAACGUUUGAUGUUCUAACCUAGGUCCAUAAUCUGGAUCGGGGACCGUGUCUGGUGGGUAGUUUGACUGGGGCGGUCUCCUCCUAAAGAGUAACGGAGGAGCACGAAGGUUGGCUAAGCAUGGUCGGACAUCAUGCGGUUAGUGCAAAGGCAUAAGCCAGCUUGACUGCGAGAGUGACGGCUCGAGCAGGUACGAAAGUAGGUCUUAGUGAUCCGGUGGUUCUGAAUGGAAGGGCCAUCGCUCAACGGAUAAAAGGUACUCCGGGGAUAACAGGCUGAUACCGCCCAAGAGUUCAUAUCGACGGCGGUGUUUGGCACCUCGAUGUCGGCUCAUCACAUCCUGGGGCUGAAGUAGGUCCCAAGGGUAUGGCUGUUCGCCAUUUAAAGUGGUACGCGAGCUGGGUUUAGAACGUCGUGAGACAGUUCGGUCCCUAUCUGCCGUGGGCGUUGGAAGAUUGAGAGGGGUUGCUCCUAGUACGAGAGGACCGGAGUGAACGCACCACUGGUGUUCGGGUUGUCAUGCCAAUGGCAUUGCCCGGUAGCUAAGUGCGGAAGAGAUAACCGCUGAAAGCAUCUAAGCGGGAAACUUGCCUCGAGAUGAGUCUUCCCUGUCGCUUUAAGCGACCUAAAGGAACGUUUAAGACUAAGACGUUGAUAGGCUGGGUGUGUAAGCGUAGCGAUACGUUGAGCUAACCAGUACUAAUGAACCGUGAGGCUUAACCU